rnacentral:rRNA from 1 species
GACGAACGCUGCGGCGUGCUUCACACAUGCAAGUCGAACGGAAAGGCCCUGCUUUUGUGGGGUGCUCGAGUGGCGAACGGGUGAGUAACACGUGAGUAACCUGCCCUUGACUUUGGGAUAACUUCAGGAAACUGGGGCUAAUACCGGAUAGGAGCUCCUGCUGCAUGGUGGGGGUUGGAAAGUUUCGGCGGUUGGGGAUGGACUCGCGGCUUAUCAGCUUGUUGGUGGGGUAGUGGCUUACCAAGGCUUUGACGGGUAGCCGGCCUGAGAGGGUGACCGGCCACAUUGGGACUGAGAUACGGCCCAGACUCCUACGGGAGGCAGCAGUGGGGAAUAUUGCACAAUGGGCGGAAGCCUGAUGCAGCAACGCCGCGUGCGGGAUGACGGCCUUCGGGUUGUAAACCGCUUUCGCCUGUGACGAAGCGUGAGUGACGGUAAUGGGUAAAGAAGCACCGGCUAACUACGUG